rnacentral:rRNA from 1 species
UACGGAGGGUACGAGCGUUACCCGGAUUUACUGGGUUUAAAGGGUGCGUAGGUGGGCCUGUAAGUCAGUGGUGAAAUCUCCGAGCUUAACUCGGAAACUGCCAUUGAUACUAUAGGUCUUGAAUUAUCUGGAGGUAAGCGGAAUAUGUCAUGUAGCGGUGAAAUGCUUAGAUAUGACAUAGAACACCAAUUGCGAAGGCAGCUUACUACGGAUCGAUUGACACUGAGGCACGAAAGCGUGGGGAUCAAACAGG